rnacentral:rRNA from 1 species
GAUGAACGCUAGCGGGAGGCUUAACACAUGCAAGUCGAGGGGCAGCAUAGGGUAGCAAUACUCUGAUGGCGACCGGCAAACGGGUGAGUAACGCGUAUGCAACCUACCCUGUACAGGGGAUAACCCGGAGAAAUUCGGACUAAUAUCCCGUAAUAAUAUCCGGAGGCAUCUUUGGAUAUUAAAGUUCCGACGGUACGGGAUGGGCAUGCGUAACAUUAGCUGGUUGGUAAGGUAACGGCUUACCAAGGCUAUGAUGUUUAGGGGUCCUGAGAGGGUGGUCCCCCACACUGGUACUGAGACACGGACCAGACUCCUACGGGAGGCAGCAGUGAGGAAUAUUGGUCAAUGGGCGCAAGCCUGAACCAGCCAUCCCGCGUGCAGGAAGACGGCCCUAUGGGUUGUAAACUGCUUUUCCAGGGAGAGAAACUUACGCACGUGUUGCGUGACUGACGGUACCCUGGGAAUAAGCAUCGGCUAACUCCGUG